GGAGGACAUGGGCCCAGGGUCCGUCUUUGAGACUGCUCACAGUGUGGCUGCACAAGAGCCACCCAUCUCACCGCCACCUGACCAGCCACUGCCACCUCUCCAGACAGAGCCAUCACCUGGCCCAGGAGGAUCCCUGCAAUGGAUCGAGGAGCUGCUGGAGUAUUUGGUUCGAGCUAUAAGGAGGCAGACCUGGGUUAUCAACCACAAACACAAAUGGACCGUGUGGUGUCCCAGGUCAGCAUGGCACAGCGCCAGGCGAUGGAGCACAUGAGACUUUCAAUUAUCGAAGAAAUAGUGCAUUGCGAUGCUCCAUCGUCUGGAUUAUCGUUACUGCACUCGGAGUCC